AUCAUAACCUUAAGGAAUAAAAAAAUUGAAAAGAAUUGAAAAGAAAAGGAUUUUAAUAAAACUAAAGAAAGGUAAGCAUUUAAGUUUGUCCAUACUGUUUGAGUUCAAAGUUCAGACGGUGGAUAUACUAAAUGCUGGUUUCUUCUUUUUAACUCCAUGGCUAACAAUGCCUAGCCCACAGAGAAAAGGUACGGGCUCCUUCAAAUCAAAUAAUGACAUAAAACUAUUAUUUCCGGUAGCAAAUAUGCUGGUACGACUAAAUUUACUUUCAUUACUGCUCUGACGUAGAUUUAUAGCAUUCUUUUCUAAGCAAUCUGAUAUAUAAAUAAGAAAAAUCAUCUCCAUGAUAGUCAGUUAUUUUCUUCUUCAUUUGAUACAUUUAAAAAUCUGCUAUAGAGGGUGACUGAGAAUCCUUCUUCUCGUGCCCAGUCACCACUAGCAAAACUCAUCCCACUUUUUUUUCCACGUUUGGCCCAGUUCGCUUAUUCUUCUUCCCAUUGUCUUCUGGGUCUAUUCUAUGGGAUAUUUCUCGACUUCGGUUGGGUUUGUUUUAUUCCUACGCAACUUGUCUUGGCAACCAAAACUUCAUAGAGAAGGCAACCUUUUGUCUUGUCCUAAUCAUUGAUGUUUGGUUUCUUGCUCAUAUAGUUGUCAUAGUAAUAAUAAUAGAGAUUUUUAUUACUUAUUUAAAAAAAGGAGAUAUUUAUUUACACUCAAUAUGGAAAGAGGAUUUUGAAACUUGUUUCUAAUUAAUCUAAUGUAUGAAACUAAAUGAGAAAUUAUCAAUAUAUCUAUAUCUAUAUAUAUAUAAAAGCAGAAGCUGAGAGAAAAUGAGUUCCUAGAAUUAAGGAGAUAAUGACAAAUAGGAAAAGUGCCCACUUAAAAUUCAGACAUGUGUAACUUUAAAAAGCGAUACAUUACAUUGUUUGAUAACGUUACAACACCAUUUAAAAGCGAUAAAUUAUAAUAUUUGACUACAUUAAAAUACUGUUUGGAGCCUCUUGGUAUAAAAGGAAACUAACCGCUAAAAAAAAAGGAAAAAAAAAAAGAGAAAGAAAUAUCGCUUCACGGAGUAAGGAGCGAGAGAUCGUGAGAAAAGAGAGACAGAAAUAGAGAGACAGAUAGAGAAAAGGGCGCCACCAAGACCAGAUCUUCUGCCAUCACCAGAUAGAGAAGGAGGAAAAAAAAACCUUGCGAUAUAGAGAUGAGAAGGAGACAGACAUUGAGAGAACUACCACCGAGGGCAAAAACAGAGAAAUUGUGCCUCUUCAUACACAAUAAAACAGAGAAAUUCCGCCAGUCAGGCUACCGGAAUCGUUACUGGUAAAGUUCUGAUUAUAUUCCUAUUUAAAUACAAUAUCCUGCUUCUAGCCAAAUUGUUUUUGUCUGCCACCGUCCAUACACCAAUCUUUCUCUCUCCAAUUUAUCCUAUCUGACCCUCUUCAGAAAUUUUAAAUAUUUACUAUCUGACUAUCAACAGAUGCAUUCAAUGAUGACAAGCCCUGGACUUCUCAACGACGCAUCAAAGAUAUUCAGUGACUCAAUAUUGUUUCACUAAGCAGGAAAUGAUGCAACCCAAAUUGACAUGGCUUAAAUUGCAUCGGGAUUGAAAGCUUGAACAACCAAGGCUAGAUUGAAUGCAACCCCUGGCAGUGCCUCAAGAUUGGGAGCAACACCAUAAACGUUUCUUUUUUUUUUUGGGCUGACUCCAUUUAUGGUUGCACAUUAUCAUUAUCUGGCCCACCAAGUGGAUAUGAUGGUGGGCAUGGUAUUGGUGGUCGAGGGGGGUUAUGGUGGUGCUUCUGCUGAGGCCCCAAAUGUGACAACUAAAGAACUAAGGGAGCUUUUUGGAGGCAUUGGACAAGUCUCCAUUCCCAGUGCAUUGAGUUUGCUCUCAGUUAUAGAUGGCAAAGGCAAAACAAGAAGGCAGAUCUUCUUUAACUUCAUUCCAUGAAUCCUCUCCUGGAUUAGGAUCACCAUACCUCUGGCUCAGAUCGCCACGAUCUGAGGAAGGAGGUUUGCAAUUGAUAGAACUUCUUGGAGAAUGUGCUAGCCAUGUAACUGCCAGAUGUCUUCAUAGUGUUAAUACCAGGCUUGGACAUAUUUCCUAUCUUGCCUCUCCUAAAGGCACUGUAAUUCAGCAAAUUGCUUCAUAUUUCAUUGAGGCAUUUGCUAAUAGGAUGCUUAAAGGCUUUACUGGUCUCUUUUGCAGUAAAAACAUGAUGUGUUCCAGGAAUCAAAAUUUCGUUGGAUGAAAGUUAAGUUCAAAACUAACCCAUCAGGGUAGUUGGGUUUUUAUUUAUUUAUAAAUUUGAGCUUACCAAGUAAUAUUUCUACAAUCACUUGAUAAUUUUAGGCUAUUUAGCAAUAGGCGCUAUCAUUUGCCUAGCCAGUUGGCACAAAACCAUCAAUAUAGAUCAUUAGAUAGCUCAUAUUGCAAUCUUUUCAAUAUAAUUUAUUUUUGUCUUACCAAUCUAUCAAUCUAAGAUUCUGAAUUGAUUUGUUUCAAUUGCAUUGGAAUAGUCAUGAUAUGUUUUUAACAUGUGAGCUUUGCUUCAAAUGAUUGUAUGAGAAUAAAAGGAAUUAUUCAUUGAAGAAACAAAUGAAGAAGAAUAAUGCACUUGCAAUAAUGGUUUUGUAAUAUGAAUAUAUAUUAUGAAACAUUCAUAUACAUGUAGGAUGGUGCUAUAUAUGUAGGAGAGUACACUUUCAAAGUUUCUUAUUGAGUUAAAAGAGAUUGCAUUAAACAACACCAUUGGGUUAUUUUAGUUUUUUUUUAAAGGUGUAGGAGUGGAGGAAAAAGUAGGAGUAGAGAUGGAGAUGAAAGAGUAUGAGUAUGAGCAAUUAGCUAAAACCCUUGAAAUGUUUGGAAACAACAUCGCAUUUGCCUACAAGCAUUAUAUCUUUCUUUUCUUUUUGUUUUUUGUUUGUUUUUUAAAUAUAAACAUAAAUUUGUUGAUGUUGGGACUAGAGCAUAUUAGAGUUAGAGCAGUAAGACGCCAAGCUAUAGGCCUAGAACUACUCUAAAGUGCUUAUAGUCCAUUGUAGUUUCAUAUACAUUGCGCUCUUAUAAAAUACUCACUACCAUAAUUACAGUAUAUGAAGGAUGGUACAAUGAUGGUUUUUUAAUUUAUAAAAUGAUCUUGUGCAUUGCGCGGGUUAAACGCUAUAUAUAUAAUAGCAGAAGCUGAGAGAAAAUGGGUUCCUAGAAUUAAGGAGAUAAUGACAAAUAGGAAAAGUCCCUACCUAAAAUUCAGACAUGUGUAACUUUAAAAAGCGAUACAUUAUAUUGUUUUCAAAACAUUAACACUGUUUGGCUGUAAUUGUUUAUAUUUAAAAAAAAAAAAACUAUUAAAAGAAAAAAAAAAACGUAGAAAUUAAAAAAAUCUACCGAUCUCUAUGAAAUUAAAAAAAACGUUGAAAUUAAAAAACCUUGCCAAUAUUGCGAUACAGAGAAAGGGAAAAAGGAAAAAACCCUACCCUCUUAACAUCAGUCUUCUUAAUAUUUUUUCUCUCUAAAAACACCCUAGCCAUACUGCGAUAGAGGCAAUCUCUUCACAUCAAACUCUGCUAGGAGAAAAAAAAAAAAAAAAAAAAAAAAAAAAACUUGCGCCACACUGGAGAUUCGAUUGGCCGACCAUCGCUAUCCCCUUUUGAGUUUUCCAGGUUUUGCUGUUUUGGGCUGCUUUGAAUAAGUAUAUGAUAGUUUUGUUAUAAGAUUUUUGGUGUUGGGCUGUAAUAAUUUUUCCUAAGGGAAUAUUUGCCUAUAUAUAUAUACACAUAAUAUUUAACAAUGCUUUUACUUGGUUCUUUUUUAGAAUAGCAUUUUGUUAUUUCCUAUUGGCUUUUCUUUUAUAUAUGGUUGUUAGAGCCAUUUCUUGGGUUCUUCUUUUAUCUCAAUCGAAAAAUAUAUGAGUUCUAAUGUAUAUACUACCUUACUCUAAGAGUCUUUAUGUAUUUCAUAGUAUUGUUAAUUAAUUUUUUUUUUUCUUUGGAAGACUAAACUGAAUGUAUUGAAUAAAGCUGACAGAUUAGGACAACGUUACUAUAAAAUGUAAUUAUAUUUCACAAUUCAGUAUGUUAGACACUAUAAUGGUCCCAAAAUGGCUGAUUUCAAAGUGUAUAAGCUGAAUGAAGAAUGUAGUCAACAGGAUUUGCUUUAAUAAAAUAAAUAGAUUUUCCCCUACUGUUCUGUUGUUGUAAAGUAAGAAGUUAUGUGUGUUCAGCUACUGCAUCUCUAUUUUUUUAGUUAUUUUAAUUUUUCAACCAAGUCAAUAUAGUGUAUAUAAUUGUAUUGUGGCUGUUUGGAUUAGUUAUAUAUUUACUUGAAUGCAUCAAAAUUUUCCUUAUAACGUCUAUUGUGACUAUUUUUUCUUCUCAUCAUCUAUUGAGGUUUUUUUUUUUUUUUUUUUAGAGAAAAUCUUUUGAGUAGUAGAAUGCAUGCUCGGUUGCUUAAUGGAACACUAUGGAGUUUUACCUAAGAAAUAUGAUAAGUUAAAACACAUUGUUUUCUGAAAUAGUAUGCCGUGGUUCAGAUAUAUAAAUCUAACAAUCUAAAUUUUUCUUUCCAUUUCUUUUCCUCUCCUCCUUUUUUUUUUUUAAAGAAAUAUAACGAUAUCUAAUUCUUACAACUUUAUUACUUCUAAUGAAACCAUUUUUAUAUCUAUACACAGGUUAUCAUUUUGAUCUCUUAUUUUUUUAGGAGGGCUAUACAGUGAAAAACAUGUCUGUUUAUUACAAUGUAAUUUGUCAGGAUCCCGCGCAUUGUGCGGGUUAAACACUAGUCUCUAUAAUAGCACAAGAUAUGAAAAUCAAAAGUUAAACCAAUUAACUUUCAUUAUUUCAAAAUAAAGUCAUAUGAAAGUGUAUAUUCCUUUCACUAAAAAAAAUGAAUUGAAAACUUACAGGUUUUCUAGAGAAUAUUCAUAAUUAAAGCUGUUGAUGAUGCAAUAACUGUAUAAAUUUUUGGGCUGGU